AGCGAACGCUGGCGGCAGGCUUAACACAUGCAAGUCGAGCGGGCACUUUCGGGUGUCCGCGGCGGACGGGUGAGUAACGCGUGGGAACGUGCCCUCUGGUUCGGAAUAACUCAGGGAAACUUGAGCUAAUACCGGAUACGCCCUUUUGGGGAAAGGCUUGCUGCCGGAGGAUCGGCCCGCGUCUGAUUAGCUAGUUGGUGAGGUAACGGCUCACCAAGGCGACGAUCAGUAGCUGGUCUGAGAGGAUGAUCAGCCACACUGGGACUGAGACACGGCCCAGACCCCUAGGGGGGGCGGAGGGGGGGAUAUUUGGACAAGGGGCGCAAGCCUGAUCCCGCCAUGCCGGGUGAGUGACCAAGGCCUUGGGGUUGUAAAGCCUUUUUACCCGGGACGAUAAUGCCGGUACCGGAGGAAAAAGCCCCGGCUAACUGCGU
rnacentral:rRNA from 1 species